GGAUUCGACCCGACACGAAAAAAGUCCAUCAAAAUUAGGUUUAAGACAUUGCCUUUUUCCGUUUCCCUGCUCUGAUACACUGUCUUCUCCAAAAAUAAUGAGAUGGCCAUCGUCGCUUCUUCCUUCACUGCCAGAUCUUUAUUUCGAUAAUCCUUUAUUUCUUGGCAUCGCCAACAAGCUCGGCUCCCAAGCAAAAGCUACUUGAUUUCCCAUCGAUUUUUGGAAAUCGAAACAAAUAUGUAUCUGUUUUUUGAAAUUGAAGUAGUUGCUAGUUUGAAACGGUAAAUAUGUUUUUGUCUUUGAAAUCGAAGGCUACUUGUUGCGUGGUUUAAGAAAAACCUUGCAAGGCAAUUAUACCACUGAUCCCAUUUCCGUCACUUCUCUUACUCUCAACCGCAAAGCCAUUUCUGAUGUAAUACCUUUUCUGUGCAUUUUGAUUUUUUCACUUUUGCUUGAUUAAAUUUCUCAUCGAUUUAUUUUUUUUCAGCAGGUUUCGUGCUUGAGUGAGUUCAAGAAUUUAGAAAGGCUAGAUCUUAGUUUCAACAAUUUAACUUCACUUGAGCUAGUAAUACUUAAACGUAUUUUUGUGUGAAGCUCUGUAUAGGUAGUAUUUGGGGGGGGGGGGGGGGGUGGAGGGAACCAUUUGAUGUAUCCAAAAUUUCUUUUAUUAAUUUGUACAUUUUUUUUUAAUUCAAGGUUUGAAGUCUUAUGUGAAUUUGAAGUGGUUAUCAGAUUUGCAGAACAAGAUCGAGAGCUUGAAACGGAUUGAGGGCCUCAAUAAACUAACUGAAAGUAGCACAAAUCACCACACAACCAUAUUUUACAAUUUUUUUUUCCUUCUUGUGUUUUUCAAAUUUGAAGCGUUCAAGAGCUUUAUUUAAUUGCUGGAAUUUGAAUUCUAUUCAGAGUAUAAAUAGGAUUAGGAUUUCGUCAGUAAUGAAGCUAUUGGUUGGAGGACUUGGAUUUCAGAGCCUUCCAGUCACUGUAAAUGCUAACAUUUCAUCAAGUGCAAGUACGUGAAUUUGACGACAAUAAUUAGAAUCUGAUGCUGCCUUUUAUCAUCACAUACAUGGUAUUAAAGUUAAAUUUCAUUUCUAGCCGUUAAUAUAUACAAUCCAUUGUUGAACAGAAUCAUCAUAUUUGAAUUGAGAAAUUGAGUUUAUUGUUAUCCUUCAUCUAGUCUCCAAUUUUAUUUGCUGUGAAAGUUAAUGAAAACCUUCUGUUGUUCAUAGGAAUUAAAAGCUAUGAAGUAUGAGGAUUCUCUUAAAUCGAACAGAGUUUUCAUCAUUUAUCCUAUCCUUAUUUUCUAUUAUUGGAAGUUUCUUCUCCUUUUUUUUUUUUUUUUUUUUUGGGGAAAAUUUACUCAGAAGAUUGAGUGAUCUAGAUCCUGAUGUUUAACUCAUCUAGCUAGAUGUUAGUCAGCAUUCUUCUACCCAAAAUUAAGCCACCUCUAGUAUAAUUGGUUUUAUAUACUUUGCUUGAUGAUAAUGUAAAAUGAGGACAAAAAAUGUUGAAUUAUCUUUAUUUUCUUCUACUGAUUUUUAUUCAUGAUGAACAGUUACUUUCUUUACAUUGUUAUAUGUACAAGUUUCAUAAAUUCAAAGUUACUGACAUGUCAUAUACCCUCACUGAAAUGGGAUUCAAGUCAUUUUGUUGUUUACUAUACAAGUAUUCAAUGCUAGAAAAAACAAGAUCAAGUCAAUGGACGAGGUAAAGUCUCUUACAAGUGUGUGGGCAUUGAUUUUGAGAGGUAAGUCUUUCUUGUCGAAGAUAUUGUAAACAAUUAGCUAAUAAAAUUUUCCUCAAGGAUUAAUGUUUAUAAUCUUCCUUUUUCUUAACCUAUGGUAGAGAAUGAUACCAGUUAAGUUUGUAAGCUUAAUCAGAUGAAAGAGUUGAAUACUGGUCAAUACUGCUGCUCAAUGACUUCACCAAAUUAUUCAAUCAACCUCAGAGAGGCCAAUGGAAUCUGGGACGAACAACAAGUCUAUGAAAGUCUUUUGGACUGCAGUAAUGGCACUUGCUAGCAGAUCAUCUGAUGGAUCUCUGGUGGAGUCCUGCCAUUGGGCAGAUGGUAUACCAUUGAAUCUCCGACUAUAUGAAAUGCUUCUAGAAAUAUGUUUCGAUAUUAAUGACUAAACGUCCAUUAUAGAUGAAGUUCGUGAGCUUAUGGAACUCGUGAAGCAAAACUUGGGAAAUCCUAGGAUAAACCAAAUGUUGCACAAUCUUUGCUUUACAUGGGUCCCUUCAAGAUAACUAAAUGCGAUCUGCUGCCUAGAAUUAGCUGAAGGAUUUUUUUUUUUUUUUUUUUUUAAAGUAAAUGCUGGAGUCAAAAUGCAGAGGAUAUGUUGGAGGGGGACUCAAAAUAUUGGUGAAGGGUGUUUCCUUGAUUAGAAGAAAGGACAUGUUAGCUCAAGAAGUGUUCAAUGAGAUUCUUGGUUGGAGUUCAAUGUAAGAUUAUAGGAUUGAUGAACUUGUAGAUAAGGACAUGAGUAGUCGAUAUAAAAGAUGGUUUGACUUUGAAAUCGAAGCAUUUGAACUCAGAAUAGAGAUUGAGGAUCGGGGUUCUUAAUUUUUUUUGUUAGAUAAAAAAUUUAUAAAAGUUUGUUCUUAUUUCAACAGUUUCUUUUAUUAUUAAAGUGUAUGGAUUCGAAUUCGUAAUGAAAUUAUUAUUUUUUGUAGUCCAAAAGCUCUUGGUAAGGAG
rnacentral:lncRNA from 1 species